UACGUAGGUGGCAAGCGUUAUCCGGAAUUAUUGGGCGUAAAGAGCGCGCAGGUGGUUGAUUAAGUCUGAUGUGAAAGCCCACGGCUUAACCGUGGAGGGUCAUUGGAAACUGGUCAACUUGAGUGCAGAAGAGGGAAGUGGAAUUCCAUGUGUAGCGGUGAAAUGCGUAGAGAUAUGGAGGAACACCAGUGGCGAAGGCGGCAUCCUGGACCAACACUGACACUGAAAAGCGAAAGCCAGGGGAGCAAACGGG
rnacentral:rRNA from 1 species